rnacentral:rRNA from 1 species
UACUUGUACUGAUUGAGAUUUUAACACGAAGUGAGUGGCGAACGGGUGAGUAACACGUGGGUAACCUGCCCAGAAGUAGGGGAUAACACCUGGAAACAGAUGCUAAUACCGUAUAACAGAGAAAACCGCAUGGUUUUCUUUUAAAAGAUGGCUCUGCUAUCACUUCUGGAUGGACCCGCGGCGUAUUAGCUAGUUGGUGAGGUAAAGGCUCACCAAGGCAGUGAUACGUAGCCGACCUGAGAGGGUAAUCGGCCACAUUGGGACUGAGACACGGCCCAGACUCCUACGGGAGGCAGCAGUAGGGAAUCUUCCACAAUGGACGCAAGUCUGAUGGAGCAACGCCGCGUGAGUGAAGAAGGGUUUCGGCUCGUAAAGCUCUGUUGUUAAAGAAGAACGUGGGUAAGAGUAACUGUUUACCCAGUGACGGUAUUUAACCAGAAAGCCACGGCUAACUACGUGCCAGCAGCCGCGGUAAUACGUAGGUGGCAAGCGUUAUCCGGAUUUAUUGGGCGUAAAGCGAGCGCAGGCGGUCUUUUAAGUCUAAUGUGA